rnacentral:lncRNA from 1 species
AUGCCCCUCUAUACUGGGGAACAUCUCUGAAGUUUGUAGCCUAUGCGUUUAGCCCUGAGUAAAAACUGUAUGCCACAUUCACAGCAGAUAACCUAGAGAGGAGCAUGAUAACCACAUCCACAGGAUGAACCAUCACACCUCCAGCUACAAUACUAAGGGGAGAAAGAGGCAGUUUCAAGCAGGAUCUGGGAAUUUGGACUGAUGGCUGUGGCCUUUUCGGGUCUCAGCUUUCCAGAGAACGUGCCAGGUGCCCCUCUGUCUCUGGUCUCUUUCUCAGGCCAUAGGCCCUGUCCAGCAUACUCACAAUGUUGAUCAUCCAGCGUGGUAGCCAUCGGUCCCCUGGGCAAAAUCUUGGACAAAGCACAGUCUCUGAACUCUUCGUAUAUUGGGGGUGAUUGUGAGUCACCUGAUGUUGAGAGUGACAAGCAAAACCCUCAGGUCCCUCCCCCUCAAGAAGUAUUCCUA